rnacentral:rRNA from 1 species
GCCAGCAGCCAUAUCACCCUGCAACUCACAACUGGCAACUCACUGAAGCUAAGCAGGUGUAAGUCUGGUCAGUACCUGGAUGGGAGACCUCCUGGGAAAAACUAAGGUUGCUGUUGGAA